CUACGGGUCGCAGCAGUGGGGAAUUUUGGACAAUGGGGGCAACCCUGAUCCAGCCAUGCCGCGUGAGUGAAGAAGGCCUUCGGGUUGUAAAGCUCUUUCAGCCGGGAAGAAAUCGCAUGGGCCAAUACCCUGUGCGGAUGACGGUACCGGAAUAAGAAGCACCGGCUAACUCCGUGCCAGCAGCCGCGGUAAUACGUAGGGUGCGAGCGUUAAUCGGAAUUACUGGGCGUAAAGCGUGCGCAGGCGGAUGCUUAAGUCAGAUGUGAAAUCCCCGGGCUUAACCUGGGAAGUGCAUUUGAAACUGGGUGUCUAGAGUGCGGCAGAGGGGGGUGGAAUUCCACGUGUAGCAGUGAAAUGCGUAGAUAUGUGGAGGAACACCAAUGGCGAAGGCAGCCCCCUGGGAUGACACUGACGCUCAUGCACGAAAGCGUGGGGAGCAAACAGGAUUAGAUACCCGUGUAGUC
rnacentral:rRNA from 1 species